ACUCUUUUCGUUGUGUCUGUAUUGAUAUGCUAGUAUCUUUAAGUGCUUUCCUAAAGCUGCCAAACAAGGAAUGGAUCAUCCUCAUCAAUUCCUAAGCCAGUCUCCACGUAUAUUUCAUCUUUUGAAAUAUACAUGUGACAGUGGAAUCAAUUUGAAGUUAGAGAGCCAUUUUAUUAUUCGAAAUUGACUUGAUAAGGCGCAUUUCAGUUUGAUUCCUAUUAUUAUAUAGUGGAAUGUUACAACCUCUCA
rnacentral:sRNA from 1 species